AGCUGAAACCUCUUCCUGCGGGCGCGCCAGAAAGACAGGCGCCAUCUCAGAGCUUCCUGCAGGACUCAGCAUCUGCACUACCCUGGGAUUCAGACACCAUUAUGAGGAUGCAGUGCUGAGUAAGACUGGCAAAGUUCCUGACAUCUGGUGCAGAGGAGGUAAAAUGAACAAUCGGUUAUUCUCCCUUUCCUGGCAGAGGAGUUUCUUUGAAAUUUAUCAUCAGAAAAUCCACUCAACAACCAGUUCAAUCUACAUAAGAAAGAUAAGAUGUAAUCAAACUACCCCCCAAAUUGUCUAAAGACCAGAAUGAAAAGAAGAUCUCAGCAUAUCCACUGUGGCUACUAGGCCAUAUUAAACAUCAAUUUUUGAUUUUCCGGAAUGAGAAGAAAGGUUGAAUCAUCAAAGAUGACUAUGGGGGCUUGCACUAAGAGUCUACAAAGUCUUCAUUAUUGGAAAGUUUCUAAGAGAUACAAAACCGGAAGAUAUGCUCUUUGGUUGUAUUCUCUAAAAGCAAACCCUUAGGAAAGGGUUCAGGUGAAAGCAAUUCAUCUGGGGAGGAAAUCCCAGGCAAGACAAUGAAGAAGUCAGAGAAUGAGACUAGGAAAUGAGGAAAGGUAAUAUAGAAAAUGUGAAUGAGCAGGUUGCUGCUGUGGGCAUCGGGGUCUCAUUUUUGCAGAAGACUCUUUGAGAGACUACAUAGAACAAUCCUUACAAUCGGCCCAACAAAGCAUAAGGAAGCAGGGUAUUUAUCCACCAACUCAUGAUGUGAUGGCUGUUCUUGGGGAUUUAACUCUCCACUUCAGGCCUGGCCCUCCGUCAUGUUAGCCACGCAGGCUCUUAUGGGCCACAGAAAGACCUCAAGAGUUCAGAAGCCAGCUGCAUGCAAGGGAAUGGUACAAAAACUUCAGAUGACAUCCUGCAUAGGCCAAAGGAAUCUGCCAACAACAUCUGUCAAAGCUAUCUACAAUACAGUACGUUGUAUCAUGUUUUCCCAAGCAUGAGACAAGUACCACCAGUGGUUCAGGAGAUGAUUUUAGGUGGUUCUGGGUCAUGGAAUUAAAUAACAUUGAAUUA
rnacentral:lncRNA from 1 species